rnacentral:rRNA from 1 species
UACAGAGGUCCCAAGCGUUGUUCGGAUUCACUGGGCGUAAAGGGUGCGUAGGCGGUCGGGUAAGUCUGACGUGAAAUCUUCGAGCCUAACUCGGAAACUGCGUCGGAUACUAUUCGGCUAGAGGAAUGGAGGGGAGACUGGAAUACUUGGUGUAGCAGUGAAAUGCGUAGAUAUCGAGAGGAACACCAGUGGCGAAGGCGAGUCCCUGGACAACUCCUGACGCUGAGGCACGAAAGCUAGGGGAGCAAACAGG